GAUAGCACCUAUUGUUAGGGAGUUUAACAUGCUCAAGGUUUUUCUUGUAGUCAGAAUUUAGGAAGUUGCUGUGCCAGCCAAGCUCUGGACCCUUGACUCACAGAAAAUCUGGAAGCAGAGCCAGUAUAAUUCAGCAUUACUGAGCCCACUGAGCUCUCCAGGGAAGUAUAAAUUGAGCACAGAAGCUCUGAAAUGGAUUGUAACCACAACAUCAGAGGUUAUAAGACCCUCAUUCCAGAGUGGUACUGCCCUGCGUCUGGGAAGAAGGAAGGCCACACAGAGAGACCAAGAAGAAUCCUAACAGACAGGGCUUGCUUGGUUUCCCCCUCAGUCUCUUACCGUUAGAUCAGACCUCUUUGGUCCUACCACGUUUCUACAUGGCUGUCCAUUCUUCAUCGAAUCUAAGAAUAAAAAUGGAUAGUUU
rnacentral:lncRNA from 1 species